AGAAGAAAUAACUUUAAAGGUUCUCUUAACGAUCCUCAAUAGGAUUUUCGGGUCUUUCGUCUAACGUUCCUUUAGUUCUAUAUUUUCCGGGUUCUUAGUUUCUGAUAGCAGUUGGACUUUGUUGAGUGUUUCUGCUUCUUCAGUUUUGGGUCGGUAUGCCUUGCUUAUUGUUCAAGGUUGUUUUGAUUCGAUGUCUUAGACGCUCCACUAUUACUCUGUUUUAAUUAAGUUUGGAUUUUGACAAUGUAAUGAGUAUUAUGAAUUAUUAUUUUUGUUUUAAUUACUGAUGAAGAGUUUUGAACUAUCCUUUGAUUUCAUCAGCUUUGAGUAAUAUAAUAUUUCUCAAGAUUAUGAAA